AUGUGGUUUAAUUCGAAGCAACGCGAAGACUUACCUGGCCUUGACAUGCUGAGAACUUUCCAGAGAUGGAUUGGUGCCUUUCGGGAACUCAGACACAGGUGCUGCAUGGCUGUCGUCAGCUCGUGUCGUGAGGUGUUGGGUUAAGUCCCGCAACGAGCGCAACCCUUGUCCUUAGUUACCAGCGGGUUAUGCCGGGAACUCUAAGGAGACUGCCGGUGACAAACCGGAGGAAGGUGGGGAUGACGUCAAGUCAUCAUGGCCCUUACGGCCAGGGCUACACACGUGCUACAAUGGUCGGUACAAAGGGUUGCCAAGCCGCGAGGUGGAGCUAAUCCCAUAAAACCGAUCGUAGUCCGGAUCGCAGUCUGCAACUCGACUGCGUGAAGUCGGAAUCGCUAGUAAUCGUGAAUCAGAAUGUCACGGUGAAUACGUUCCCGGGCCUU
rnacentral:rRNA from 1 species